rnacentral:rRNA from 1 species
UACGUAGGGUGCAAGCGUUGUCCGGAAUUAUUGGGCGUAAAGAGCUCGUAGGCGGUUCGUCGCGUCGGCUGUGAAAUCCCCGAGGCUCAACCUCGGGUCUGCAGUCGAUACGGGCGGACUGGAGUUCGGCAGGGGAGACUGGAAUUCCUGGUGUAGCGGUGAAAUGCGCAGAUAUCAGGAGGAACACCGGUGGCGAAGGCGGGUCUCUGGGCCGAUACUGACGCUGAGGAGCGAAAGCGUGGGGAGCGAACAGG